rnacentral:rRNA from 1 species
AAUCAACGCUGGCGGCGCGCUUAACACAUGCAAGUCGAACGCGAAAGCCUGACUUCGGUUGGGCAAGUAGAGUGGCAAACGGGUGAGUAACACGUGGAUAACCUACCCUCGAGUGGGGAAUAACCCCGGGAAACUGGGGCUAAUACCGCAUACGAUCCAUCGGACUAAGUCCGGUGGCUGAAAGCCUUCGGGCGCUGGAGGAGGGGUCCGCGGCCGAUUAGCUAGUUGGCGGGGUAAAAGCCCACCAAGGCACAGAUCGGUAGCCGGCCUGAGAGGGCGCACGGCCACACUGGCACUGAGACACGGGCCAGACUCCUACGGGAGGCAGCAGUGGGGAAUCUUGGACAAUGGGCGAAAGCCUGAUCCAGCGACGCCGCGUGACUGAUGAAGCCUUUCGGGGUGUAAAAGUCUUUCGGCAGGGACAAUAAUGAUGGUACCUGCAGAAGCAGCUGCGGCUAACUACGUGCCAGCAGCCGCGGUAAUACGUAGGCAGCUAGCGUUGUUCGGAAUUACUGGGCGUAAAGCGAGUGUAGGCGGUUUGCCAAGUCCGUUGUGAAAUCUCCCGGCUCAACUGGGAGGGUGCGGCGGAAACUGGCAGGCUAGAGUGCGGAAUGGGAGAGUGGAAUUCCUGGU